rnacentral:rRNA from 1 species
UACGUAGGGGGCAAGCGUUGUCCGGAUUUAUUGGGCGUAAAGAGCGUGUAGGCGGCCAGGUAGGUCCGUUGUGAAAACUCGAGGCUCAACCUCGAGACGCCGAUGGAAACCAUCUGACUAGAGUCCGGAAGAGGAGAGUGGAAUUCCUGGUGUAGCGGUGAAAUGCGCAGAUAUCAGGAGGAACACCGGUGGCGAAGGCGGGUCUCUGGGCCGAUACUGACGCUGAGGAGCGAAAGCAUGGGUAGCGAACAGG